UGAUUGCCAGUUGGUGAUCCAACUUCAU
rnacentral:piRNA from 1 species